GUGCGGCGUGAAGGAGGAUGUUUGUCGGAGGUUGUCGUAGCUUGUCGGGCAGUUAAUUAUCGAUGUGGGCGAUGAUAGAAAAGUUUCUUAUGUGCUUCAUUAUUGAGAUUUUUCUGCCUUACAAAUUCUGGAACUCUCGCGAUGCGAAGCAGGAGAGCGUGAUAUCACAGGCGGACACUGGCCCGAAAGGCAGCAUUCUACACUACAUAUCAAAGGGGUGGAAUCUUCGCAGGCAGGCAAUAGUGCACGCAAAGGCAUAUCGACGAGGAAAUAAGAUUUGAACCAGCGUGGAACGGGGCUGACGGCAGGACAAACCCGCCGCCAGAUUCGAGGCCAGUCAGGCAUCGGUAGUCACGUGCAGCGCGUCAGGAGGCAGUGCAACGCUGAGGAUCACCGGCUGGAAAGAGGCUGAACGGCCCAGAAUGCUGGAGAUACCUUUUGCAAUAAUAAAACCGCCCACGCCGCCAAGCAGCGCGCCGCUGGCCGCAGCCAGAUCGCUGUGGAACAGCAUCUGGAAAACGCCGGCCAGGACGAAUAAACCGAUAAGCGGCGUCAUAUAAACAAGGAAUGCCGAACUCAGCAGGCUGGUUUCGGCAAUGCCUAAUUCAAUACGCUGGCCCGGCUGCAGCGGCUCGACGCUGGUGAUUUUCAUCACGUGCGCAUUUUUUGGCCCCAGCUUGUUCAGCAUAUGGCUGCCACACCCCUUGCGGGCAGAGCAGCUGCUGCAGGAAGUUUUCAUUUCGGAGUGCAGUGUGGCAAUACCAUUCUGCCACGAGACCACCGUCGCCCAUUCUCUCAUCAUGGUGUUUUACCCAUCGUCACGCUGUCAGCAAUACGU
rnacentral:ncRNA from 1 species